GCCUUACCCAGCAACGCCGCGUGAGGGAAGAAGGUUUUCGGAUUGUAAACCUCUGUCCUGGGGGACGAAGGAAGUGACGGUACCCCGGGAGGAAGCCCCGGCUAACUACGUGCC
rnacentral:rRNA from 1 species